ACCGGUCUAAGUUCGGAUUGCAGGCUGCAACCCGCCUGCAUGAAGUCGGAAUCGCUAGUAAUCGCGAGUCAGCAUAUCGCGGUGAAUACGUUCCCGGGUCUUGUACACACCGCCCGUCACACCAUGGGAGUUGGCAACACCCGAAGUCGAUGAGCUAACCGUAAGGAGGCAGUCGCCUAAGGUGGGGUUGAUAACUGGGGUGAAGUCGUAACAAGGUACC
rnacentral:rRNA from 1 species